rnacentral:tRNA from 1 species
GGGUUAGCGAAGCCCUCGCCUCGUUUACACCGAGAGGGUCGGCGGUUCGAGCCCGUCACCGCCCACCA